UAUUUCAGUGUUAAGUCUGUCAUCUAUGC
rnacentral:piRNA from 1 species